rnacentral:rRNA from 1 species
AGCAGCCGCGGUAAUUCCAGCUCCAAUAGCGUAUAUUAAAGUUGUUGCAGUUAAAAAGCUCGUAGUUGAAUUUCGGGAUCAAUAUGUCGGUCGUGCCUUCGGUACGUACUGGUAUCAUUGGUCUCUCCUUUCUGACGAACCAUGAUGUCAUUAAUUUGGUGUUAUGGGGAGUUAGGACUGUUACUUUGAAAAAUUAGAGUGUUUAAAGCAGGCUUUAGCUUGAAUACAUUAGCAUGGAAUAAUGAAAUAGGACGUUCGAACCUAUUUUGUUGGUUUCUAGGAUCAACGUAAUGAUUAAUAGGGAUAGUUGGGGGCAUUAGUAUUCAAUUGUCAGAGGUGAAAUUCUUGGAUUUAUUGAAGACUAACUACUGCGAAAGCAUUUGCCAAGGAUGUUUUCAUUAAUCAAGAACGAAAGUUAGGGGAUCGAAGACGAUCAGAUACCGUCGUAGUCUUAACCAUAAACUAUGCCGACUAGGGAUCGGAUGAUGUUA